UUAUAAGCCAAAAUCAACUUUUUAGAUUCAUUCAAUAAAUGAUGUAUUUGGUCUAUAUUACUGAUCAAAUGCAUCAUUUAUUAAAUGAACCUAAAAAAUUGAUUUUUGCUUAUAA
rfam:Medicago truncatula strain A17 chromosome 3, whole genome shotgun sequence.